CCAUCUUAAACGGAGGAAGAAUGCGCCAAUGGUUCGUUGUCGUGAUGGACAACCUGCUGAUUCUGCUGGCUAUCGAGAGGCAUGUAUUGUGACAUGAUAGCCAUUAUCUCUGAGUCCAUGUAAGACUGCAUGAAAAACCAGAAUAUGUAACCAGCUAUUCCAACGCUCAUCACUACGGCAAGCACCACAACGGUUGAAGCAGGUAAAAGUAUCGAAGAGGAAAGUACCUUGACACGUUUUACCAUCUCCGGAGAAGCCAGCCGGACAAUGGCAGCCCGACAGAUCAUUGUCCUUGCACGCUGAGAACUUGACUCCAUUCUUGUGUUCCGACCAGCAGCCUCCGUUGUUGACUGAGCACCUCCCCGGCCCAACAGCUGCAGACGGAUCAAGAUUCAGAUUCACGCAGAUCUCAACUAGUCUGAAGGCUGUUACAUUAGAUUCAUUGUCGCGCCAACACCCUCCGUUAUUCUCAAGGCACUGGCAAAUCGGAGGCUCUGUCGUCUCCUUAAACCCUGCACAUACGGCUUUCAGCACGGCGUUCCUCUCCAACUUCCCUUCACCGACCAAAGCAAUCUCAUUCAGAUAUACAAAACAUACCUCAAAUCACACAUACAUAAGGACUUCGUUCUCAGUAUCAGCUUCUGGAUCACCCAUGCACUUGUUUAUCUUCUCAACCGAUAUACCUACACCAAGAUCAAUCCCGGAAACUGAUGUCCUCGGAUUAUGUUGAUCGGGACAUAAAUGGAAAGGAAUUUUCCU